rnacentral:misc_RNA from 1 species
GAUGAAGAACGUAGCGAAAUGCGAUAAGUAAUGUGAAUUGCAGAAUUCAGUGAAUCAUCGAAUCCUUGAACGCACAUUGCGCCCCUUGGUAUUCCGAGGGGCAUGCCUGUUCGAGCGUCAUAUUAACCACUCCCGCUUGCGGGGUCUUGGGCUUCGCCUCCGGGCGGGCCUUAAAAUCAGUGGCGGUGCCGUCGGGCUCUACGCGUAGUAAAUUUUCUCGCGAUAGGGUCCCGGUGGAUGCUUGCCAACAACCCCCAACUUCUUAAGGUUGACCUCGGAUCAGGUAGGGAUACCCGCUGAACUUAAGCAUAUCAAUAAGCGGAGGA